rnacentral:lncRNA from 1 species
GUUACAGAUUGCAACAUAACAUUGGGUGGAGCCAGCAUUCAGGGCCUUUAUCGACCUAGCAAAGACUAGAAAAGAUCUUUAUGACAAUCAAAACGAUGCCAACAUUUAGGAGGCUCCAUAUUUGGACAACGAAGCCUCGUCUUGAUCUCUUCAUGCAAUCUUCUUCUUCAGGUGGGGAUUCGGUACAACACAAACACAUAACAUACAAAGACUAUAUUUUUGCAGCUCAUCAGUUGGCACACAAUUCCCGACGCUAUGGUAAUUUUACAGCUCCCUCCAUAUCUUGUAUGAUUUAUUUCCACAAGCAAAGACUUGACGUGCCUUCUAUAUGCUAAUGCUUGGUACUCCCAGCUCACCAGCACGUAUGCACUCUGCUUCUUAGCUACUCCGUCCGUUCCGUUUUCACGAGAUGUUCUAGUCUUGUACUAAGUCCAAGUGUCCAACUUAUGAAAUUUUGAUCAAAUCUAUAGAAAAAACUACAGACACCUAUAACUCUAUAUUACUACAUUUUUCGAGAAAAGUUUGAUUCAAGACAAAGCUUAUAAGCUUAUGUCAUCUCACAGAAAAAAAGAAGGAAAAAGAUUAAAGCAUGCGAUGUUCGAAAGAAAAUAAAAGAAAAGUAUUCAGGACACCACACUACGGUUUGGUGGUGGAUAGGGUGAGAAGAUUCGAUGAC